GAGAAGGCCAUGGCCAUGGCCAUAACCAUGGCCAUCACCAUGGCCAUGGCAGAGGCAAAGGAAGAGGCAAAAACAAUGAGGUGGAACCAGUAAAUGAGCAUGAGGAGUAAGCAGAGAGGAUCCCACCAUCCCAUUCACUUAAAUCCCACUGAUAUCUAAAUCAAGAAUUGGCCACUGGAUCAGCUAUCCUGCUCCCUGCUAAUCAAAGACAACAAAUCGCAUCAUUAUACAACCAGAGUUGCCGUGGUGAUGGUGAUCAUCAGUUGCUAAUGAAUGGUUUUUGUUCCGUCUUGUCUGCUGGGUUGAGGAAAGCUUCAAAACAAUAAAAAUUACCAAGCAUCCAA